GUUUUACAAAGGAACACCACACUUGCCUCCAGCAGCUGAAUGGAUUUCACAUUACUCUGAUCUACUGAUGUGUUCAUGUGUCUUCUUGGACCUUUGGGAGAACACAACAAGAUGCUAAUGGAUGCUUCCUGUCCUUAGCUCAUCUGUCUACCAGUUUCAGGGCACCCCUGUGUUCAGACUGAUGGGAAACAUAGCUAUGAAGCCAGCUGGAUCCAGGCCCUUUUGGAAGGGUUCUGAAGGAGAAGGGGACCACUUGUCGCCGCUGUAAUACACAUCUGCUCUCCAGUGCCUCUUCAAACUCACAGGACUCCUUCCCUUCCCCCAGCACCUCCUAAUGCUAACCCACUAGCUGAGCAGGAGAGGGCUGAUGAUGUCGUUGAUUGAUGAUUGAGGAAACUGAAGCUCCUGAAACUAGCUUGGCUAUCAGUGACUUCUAAAGCAGGGCCUCAGUUUUGGUGACUCCAAGCUCAACUCCAAAUCAGAGGUAUGGAUAAGUCUUUCUUCUUCUGCAGACCUCCCCACUGACUCCCACCUGCCCUGACCUCAGGCUGAGAGGGUCCCUGGUGAAGGUGACAAGAGGCCACUUUUGCUGGUGGGACCCAGGGCCUUCACACCCCUCCCAUGCUGGCCACCUCUCUUCUGCCAUGUCUGAGAUCCUGAAACUGAUUUUGCUUUCUCCAUCUGCAUGUCAAAUGCUAGUGACUGACCAGAGAUUUGAACUCACAUGGAGGGGAGGUUGAAAGUCCCAUCUUUCUCUGUGCUCUGGAUCUGGUUUAAUAGCCUCCUGGGCUAGGGAGUGGCUCAGUCAGUAAAGCACUCGAUUUGCAUGAAGGCCUGAGCUCCACCUCCAAACCAUGUUAAUAAAGCUGAUUCUGGUGGCUCAGGCCUGUAAUUCCAGCAGAGAUGGGAGGGACCCUGGGCUAGCUGGUCAGCCAAGCCAAUUUGGCGCAUUCCAGUGUGAUGAGAAACUGUCUCAAAAAAAGACAAAGGUGGACAGAACUUGAGAAAUGACACUAGAGGUUGUUUUCUGGACUCCAUAUGCACACUUGAAUACACACAUAUACCCACACACAAAAAUGGAAGAAAGGGAGGAAGGAGGCAAGGAGGGAGGAAGGGAGGGAGGGAGGAAGGGAAGUCUGUCCUCUCUUGAUUCCUGCUUGGAAAGCAACAAAAGUGGAGGGUUACAUGGGUAGUUUAUAGGGCAAGGCCUGGGGCCCUGGCCUGGGUCAGGAAGCAGCAGUGGGAAUGCCAGAUGCCCAGCUUUCUGAGUCUAAGGUCCACAGACUUGGUAUCAGCUAAUCACUGAUGUAACGUGACCAGAAGACUCAAUGUUCUUGCUGCCAGGACUUCCUGGACAUGGUAGA
rnacentral:lncRNA from 1 species